UACGUAGGUGGCAAGCGUUUAUCCGGAAUUAUUGGGCGUAAAGCGCUCGCAGGCGGUUUCUUAAGUCUGAUGUGAAAGCCCACGGCUCAACCGUGGAGGGUCAUUGGAAACUGGGAGACUUGAGUGCAGAAGAGGAGAGUGGAAUUCCACGUGUAGCAGUGAAAUGCGUAGAGAUGUGGAGGAACACCAGUGGCGAAGGCGACUCUCUGGUCUGUAACUGACGCUGAGGAGCGAAAGCGUGGGGAGCAAACAGG
rnacentral:rRNA from 1 species